GACAGAGGAUGCAAGCGUUAUCCGGAAUGAUUGGGCGUAAAGCGUCUGUAGGUGGCUUUUCAAGUCCGCCGUCAAAUCCCAGGGCUCAACCCUGGACAGGCGGUGGAAACUGCCAAGCUGGAGUACGGUAGGGGCAGAGGGAAUUUCCGGUGGAGCGGUGAAAUGCGUAGAGAUCGGAAAGAACACCAACGGCGAAGGCAGCUCUCUGGGACGUUACUGACGCUGAGACGCGAAAGCGUGGGGAGCAAACAGG
rnacentral:rRNA from 1 species